rnacentral:rRNA from 1 species
GACGAACGCUGGCGGCGUGCUUAACACAUGCAAGUCGAACGCAGUGGCGAACGGGUGAGUAAUACGUGGGUAACCUGCCCUCCUUUUUGGGAUAAGCCUUGGAAACGGGGUCUAAUACCGAAUAAAGGGGGAUGGCAUCGCGGCCUAUCAGCUUGUUGGUGGGGUGAUGGGCUACCAAGGCGGGGACGGGUAGCCGGCCUGAGAGGACGACCGGCCACAUGGGGACUGAGACACGGUCCAGACUCCUACGGGAGGCAGCAGUGGGGAAUAUUGCACAAUGGGCGCAAGCCUGAUGCAGCCAUGCCGCGUGUGUGAAGAAGGCCUUCGGGUUGUAAAGCACGUUCAGCGAGGAGGCGUUACUCGCAGAAGAAGCACCGGCUAACUCCGUGCCAGCAGCCGCGGUAAUUC